UGGGGAAUAUUGCACAAUGGGCGCAAGCCUGAUGCAGCCAUGCCGCGUGUGUGAAGAAGGCCUUCGGGUUGUAAAGCACUUUCAGCGAGGAGGAAGGUGGUGAACUUAAUACGUUCAUCAAUUGACGUUACUCGCAGAAGAAGCACCGGCUAACUCCGUGCCAGCAGCCGCGGUAAUACGGAGGGUGCAAGCGUUAAUCGGAAUUACUGGGCGUAAAGCGCACGCAGGCGGUUUGUUAAGUCAGAUGUGAAAUCCCCGGGCUCAACCUGGGAACUGCAUUUGAAACUGGCAAGCUAGAGUCUCGUAGAGGGGGGUAGAAUUCCAGGUGUAGCGGUGAAAUGCGUAGAGAUCUGGAGGAAUACCGGUGGCGAAGGCGGCCCCCUGGACGAAGACUGACGCUCAGGUGCGAAAGCGUGGGGAGCAAACAGAUUAGAUACCCUGGUAGUCCACGCUGUAAACGAUGUCGAUUUUGGAGGUUGUGCCCUUGAGGCGUGCUUCCGGAGCUAACGCGUUAAAUCGACCGCCUGGGGAGUACGGCCGCAAGGUUAAAACUCAAAUGAAUUGACGGGGUCAUAGCUGUUCCU
rnacentral:rRNA from 1 species